rnacentral:rRNA from 1 species
CGGGCGUCUUAACAUGCAAGUAGAACGCUGAAGAGAGGAGCUUGCUCUUCUUGGAUGAGUUGCGAACGGGUGAGUAACGCGUAGGUAACCUGCCUUGUAGCGGGGGAUAACUAUUGGAAACGAUAGCUAAUACCGCAUAACAAUGGAUGACACAUGUCAUUUAUUUGAAAGGGGCAAUUGCUCCACUACAAGAUGGACCUGCGUUGUAUUAGCUAGUAGGUGAGGUAACGGCUCACCUAGGCGACGAUACAUAGCCGACCUGAGAGGGUGAUCGGCCACACUGGGACUGAGACACGGCCCAGACUCCUACGGGAGGCAGCAGUAGGGAAUCUUCGGCAAUGGGGGCAACCCUGACCGAGCAACGCCGCGUGAGUGAAGAAGGUUUUCGGAUCGUAAAGCUCUGUUGUAAGUCAAGAACGAGUGUGAGAGUUGAAAGUUCACACUGUGACGGUAGCUUACCAGAAAGGGACGGCUAACUAC